rnacentral:RNase_P_RNA from 1 species
GAGGAAAGUCCGGGCUCUAAUUCAUAAUAAUAUAGCUGUAUAAAUAACAGUAUAGGUAACUAUAAGGAAAGUGCCACAGAAAAAAACCGCCUAAUUUAACAUAAUAUAUGUUUAGGUAAGGGUGCAAAGGUACAGUAAAAGCGUACCAGAAGUAUAAUAAAAAUACUUGCUAGGCAAACCCCAUAUAAGAGCAAAGUAAUAAACUUUACAUUAAUUAAAUUAAUCAUAAAAAAAUUGAUUGUAUUUUAAGGUUUAUAUUCACUACUGCAAUAAAUUUGUAUGUAAAUAUAAAAAAAAGAUUAAUGACUACCCUUGAUAAAUUUAAUUUUUAUAUAAACAAUAUAAAUAUUAUAAUUAUUAAGAACAAAAUCCGGCUUAU